rnacentral:rRNA from 1 species
AAUGACCUGGCGGCAUGCCUUACACAUGCAAGUCGAACGGCAGCACGGGGGCAACCCUGGUGGCGAGUGGCGAACGGGUGAGUAAUGAAUCGGAACGUGCCCGGUAGUGGGGGAUAACCAGUUGAAAGACUGGCUAAUACCGCAUACGACCUACGGGUGAAAGCGGGGGACCGUAAGGCCUCGCGCUAUCGGAGCGGCCGAUUUCCGAUUAGCUAGUUGGUGAGGUAAAGGCUCACCAAGGCGAUGAUCGGUAGCUGGUCUGAGAGGACGGCCAGCCACACUGGGACUGAGACACGGCCCAGACUCCUACGGGAGGCAGCAGUGGGGAAUUUUGGACAAUGGGCGAAAGCCUGAUCCAGCCAUGCCGCGUGCGGGAAGAAGGCCUUCGGGUUGUAAACCGCUUUUGGCAGGAACGAAACGGCGCGGGCUAAUACCCGCGUUAAUGACGGUACCUGCAGAAUAAGCACCGGCUAACUACGUGCCAGCAGCCGCGGUAAUACGUA